CACGUGAGCAACCUACCCUUGACACUGGGAUAACAGUUGGAAACAGCUGCUAAUACCGGAUAUGAACCUCACAGGCAUCUGAGAGGUUGGAAAGCUCCGACGGUCAAGGAUGGGCUCGCGGCCUAUCAGCUUGUUGGUGAGGUAACGGCUCACCAAGGCGACGACGGGUAGCCGGCCUGAGAGGGCGACCGGCCACACUGGGACUGAGAUACGGCCCAGACUCCUACGGGAGGCAGCAGUGGGGAAUAUUGCGCAAUGGGCGAAAGCCUGACGCAGCAACGCCGCGUGCGGGAUGACGGCCUUCGGGUUGUAAACCGCUUUCAGCAGGGACGAAACUGACGGUACCUGCAGAAGAAGCACCGGCUAACUACGUG
rnacentral:rRNA from 3 species